AUGGCCCAAGUGCUUGGGCCCUGCACCCCAUGGGAGACCAGGAGAAGCACCUGGCUCCUGCAUCAGAUCAGUGCAGUGCGCCGGCCACAGCGCGCCAGCCGUGGCAGCCAUUGGAGGGUGAACCAACGGCAAAGGAAGACCUUUCUCUCUGUCUCUCUCUCUCGAGCCAGGUGCUUCUCCUGGUCUCCCAUGCGGGUGCAGGGCCCAAGCACUUGGGCCAUCCUCCACUGCACUCCCUGGCCACAACAGAGAGCUGGCCUGGAAGAGGGGCAACCGGGACUAGAACUCAGCGCCCAUAUGGGAUGCCAGCACCGCAGGCAGAGGAUUAACCUAGUGAGCCACAGCGCCAGCCCCAAUCAAAAUAUCUUUUUACAAAAGCUUUUAGCAAAGUGUUUCUACACUCCACCUUUUUAUUUGGAAAAGUUUCAAUCCAGCCGACAAGGAAAGAGCUUUAGAAUGGAAUGCAAGAGCUGUAUAAUGAGUGCAGGUAUACUUUUAAAUUUUUUAACCAAUUGUUGACAUUUAGCCUCUCUCUCUCUCUCUCUCUCUCUCUCUCUCGGCUCGUGAGGGCAUGCCUAGGGAGACUCAGCGUCAACCUCAGCUCCUCAUCUCUGGGGAUAAGACCUCCUCCUCUUCCAGGCACAGGGCAGCUCCUUCUCACGGGAAACUCAUGCCCUGCUUUUUAAGUGGGAUAGGGGAAGGCGAGGCGCCUGCACCUGCUGCGUCUCAUUUGCUUUCAGCUCAAAAUGACCAGUAUUCCAAAGUGGGAUAUCUUGGGGUGGUAUGUUUUGGUCCCUCUAAGGACAACACACAGAAACAUGACAAUAGCAAUCGCAAAAACAGAUCCAAAACAAACAAAGCGCAACAGGAAUCCAGACAAUGGGUUGCUCCAAAUUAAAGACGAAAAAGCUGUGUCUGUGACACGCAGUGUCGGAAUUUUGUUAGAGAGAGAAGACACUCUUGUUUGCUGCUCCACUCCCCAAAUGUCCACAACAGUGAAGGCUGGGCCAGACCAAAUUCAGGAGCCAGAAACUUCAUCCAGGUCUCCCACAUGAGUGGCAGGAACCUGACUAUUUGAACCAUCACUUGCUGCCUCCGUGGGACUUGAACCCGGGCACUUUGAUUCGGAAUGAGGGUGUCCAAGCAGUGAAUUAACUGCUUAUGCAUCGUGGCACAGUGGGUUAAGCUACCAUGCAAGAAACCGGCAUCCCAUAUGGGCACUGGCUUAAGUCCCAUCUGCUCCACUUCUGAUCCAGCUCCUUGCUAAUGUGCCCAGGAAAGCAGCAGAGGACGGCCCAAGUCCCCAUGCCCCUGCCACCCAUGUGGGAAGGAGUUCCAGGCUCCAGGCUCCAGGCUUCUGCCUGGCCCAGCCCCAGCUCUGGUAGAUAUUUGUGGAGUGAACCAGCAGAUGGAAAAUCUCUCUCUCUCUCUCUCUCUCUCUCUCUCUCUCUCUCUCUGCCUUUCAAAAUAAAUUAAAAUAAAUCUUCA
ensembl:lncRNA